rnacentral:rRNA from 1 species
UACGUAGGUCCCGAGCGUUGUCCGGAUUUAUUGGGCGUAAAGCGAGCGCAGGUGGUCUAUUAAGUCUGGUGUAAAAGGCAGUGGCUCAACCAUUGUAUGCAUUAGAAACUGGUAGACUUGAGUGCAGGAGAGGAGAGUGGAAUUCCAUGUGUAGCGGUGAAAUGCGUAGAUAUAUGGAGGAACACCGGUGGCGAAAGCGGCUCUCUGGCCUGUAACUGACACUGAGGCUCGAAAGCGUGGGGAGCAAACAGG